UACGGAAGGGGGCUAGCGUUGUUCGGAAUCACUGGGCGUAAAGCGCACGCAGGCGGAUCGUUAAGUCGGGGGUGAAAUCCCGAGGCUCAACCUCGGAACUGCCUUCGAUACUGGCGAUCUUUGAGUCCGGGAGAGGUGAGUGGAACUCCGAGUGUAGAGGUGAAAUUCGUAGAUAUUCGGAAGAACACCAGUGGCGAAGGCGGCUCACUGGCCCGGUACUGACGCUCAGGUGCGAAAGCGUGGGGAGCAAACAGG
rnacentral:rRNA from 1 species